UACAGAGGGUGCAAGCGUUAAUCGGAAUUACUGGGCGUAAAGCGCGCGUAGGCGGUUGUGUAAGUUGGAGGUGAAAUCCCCGGGCUCAACCUGGGCAUUGCCUUCAAAACUGCACGGCUAGAGUAUGGGAGAGGAAGGUAGAAUUCCAGGUGUAGCGGUGAAAUGCGUAGAGAUCUGGAGGAAUACCGAUGGCGAAGGCAGCCUUCUGGCCUAAUACUGACGCUGAGGUGCGAAAGCAUGGGGAGCAAAC
rnacentral:rRNA from 1 species